GCUGUCUUCCCAUUAUUUUUCUCGUCAUGUCAGCAUCUAUUUUCCUUUUCCCCGCAAUUCCCUCUCUCUCUAUAAACUCAACGUAGAGAAGUGACAAUGCAACUUUUCCAUCCUUCAUUUCCGUCCCGACGUUGUUGGUGGCGUGAGAGUAGAGAUGGAUGAUGCUUGAUUGGUGACACAGACAUGGUCGUGAGUAUAUCGACAAAACUUGCUUGUUUCUCCUUCUGUCUUGCUCUAUCUGAGGUUUCCCCUUAGCUGACACUAGAGGCUGGAUUUUCCGUCCAACAAACUCAUGUCUUCAUGUCUCAACUCAAUCAAAUCUACCGAAUAAUAUACAAAAUAUAGUUUCUCUUUUUAUGAUUUUUAUUUGUAAAUAUGUGGCGAUUUUUUAUUAGAUUGGGGCACCAUUGUGACACAAAAAGUUAGACGGUUGAUCUUGACUAACACUAUCUUUAUAAAAGAAAAUUAAGACUUCUAAAAAUAUAAGUUGCACAUUUGAAUAGCUUU